AGUGAACGCUGGCGGCAGGCCUAACACAUGCAAGUCGAGCGGCAGCGCGUCCGACCACCCUCGGGUGGUCGGAUGGCGGCGAGCGGCGGACGGGUGAGGAAUGCAUCGGAAUCUGCCUCGUUGUGGGGGAUAACGUAGGGAAACUUACGCUAAUACCGCAUACGACCUACGGGUGAAAGUGGGGGACCUUCGGGCCUCACGCGAUGAGAUGAGCCGAUGCCGGAUUAGCUAGUUGGCGGGGUAAAGGCCCACCAAGGCGACGAUCCGUAGCUGGUCUGAGAGGAUGAUCAGCCACACUGGAACUGAGACACGGUCCAGACUCCUACGGGAGGCAGCAGUGGGGAAUUUUGGACAAUGGGGGCAACCCUGAUCCAGCCAUGCCGCGUGUGUGAAGAAGGCCU
rnacentral:rRNA from 1 species